rnacentral:lncRNA from 1 species
CUCAAUUGAAUACACCCUCCUUAAUACAACUCAAGUAAGAUAAAACGGUGUCGUUCGAUUAUAAGUAAAUUGGAGUCGUUUCCCAAUUUGAAUUUCCAUUACUUCCAUUGGAGUUUCCCAAUUCAUCCAAUUUUCUCCCAUUGUUCCUAUCUGAUCUUAAUUUUUUUCUUCCCCAUUGAUUCUCCACGUGACAACCCUUUCCCUCACCAUGAUCUUGUCCCCAAGAUCGACAAAGUGGAAAUUGGGAUUUAAUACAUUUAGCGUCCUCCCAAAUAGCGCAAUCUAGAGGGAGGUUUGUCCAUUGAACCAACCCUGAACCGCGGAAUGUGACCUUCGCAAAACUACCCUCGAUUGCAAAAAAUGGAAUGGUACGUGUACUGGUUGAGUUCAGGAAGGAUAAAAGAUGGUGUUCUGGCAACUUGGAGUGACUCUCUUCAGGUAAUUGAAGUACUGGCAUAAACUUAUCACCCAAUUUUUUCUUCAAGAGAGAUAUAUGAAAGACAGGGUGAACUUCUGAGCUGGCUAGAACUACUAAUUGAUAUGCCACAGUGCCUACUUUUCUAGUGAUUUGAUAAGGACCAAAAUACUCAGUUCCCAACUUAUGAUUGGACAUGUGCUCAACUGACUGGCGAUUGUAUGGAUGGAGUUUAAGGAAUACCCAAUCACCAUCA